rnacentral:rRNA from 1 species
GAUGAACGCUGGCGGCGUGCCUAAUACAUGCAAGUCGAGCGAACAGAUAAGGAGCUUGCUCCUUUGACGUUAGCGGCGGACGGGUGAGUAACACGUGGGUAACCUACCUAUAAGACUGGAAUAACUCCGGGAAACCGGGGCUAAUGCCGGAUAACAUUUAGAACCGCAUGGUUCUAAAGUGAAAGAUGGUUUUGCUAUCACUUAUAGAUGGACCCGCGCCGUAUUAGCUAGUUGGUAAGGUAACGGCUUACCAAGGCAACGAUACGUAGCCGACCUGAGAGGGUGAUCGGCCACACUGGAACUGAGACGCGGUCCAGACUCCUACGGGAGGCAGCAGUAUGGAAUCUUCCUCAAUGGUCAAAAGCCGUACGUACCAACGCCACGUGAGUGAUGAAGGUCUUCGGAUCGUAAAACUCUGUUAUUAGGGAAGAACAAAUGUGUAAGUAACUGUACACGUCUUAACGGUACCUAAUCAGAAAGCCACGGCUAACUACGUG